rnacentral:rRNA from 1 species
UCGAGCGAUCAAUAGGAGCUUGCUNCUGUUGGUUAGCGGCGGACGGGUGAGUAACACGUGGGCAACCUGCCUGUAAGACUGGGAUAACACCGGGAAACCGGUGCUAAUACCGGAUAAUNCUUUNCCUCUCAUGAGGGNAAGUUGAAAGUCGGUUUCGGCUGACACUUACAGAUGGGCCCGCGGCGCAUUAGCUAGUUGGUGAGGUAANGGCUCACCAAGGCGACGAUGCGUAGCCGACCUGAGAGGGUGAUCGGCCACACUGGGACUGAGACACGGCCCAGACUCCUACGGGAGGCAGCAGUAGGGAAUCUUCCACAAUGGACGAAAGUCUGAUGGAGCAACGCCGCGUGAGCGAUGAAGGCCUUCGGGUCGUAAAGCUCUGUUGUUAGGGAAGAACAAGUANCGGAGUAACUGCCGGUACCUUGACGGUACCUAACCAGAAAGCCACGGCUAACUACGUGCCAGCAGCCGCGGUAAUACGUAGGUGGCAAGCGUUGUCCGGAAUUAUUGGGCGUAAAGCGCGCGCAGGCGGUCCUUUAAGUCUGAUGUGAAAGCCCACGGCUCAACCGUGGAGGGUCAUUGGAAACUGGGGGACUUGAGUGCAGAAGAGGAAAGCGGANUUCCACGUGU